rnacentral:rRNA from 1 species
CAGCAGUGGGGAAUAUUGCACAAUGGGGGAAACCCUGAUGCAGCCAUGCCGCGUGUGUGAAGAAGGCCUUCGGGUUGUAAAGCACUUUCAGUAGGGAGGAAGGUAGUGUAGUUAACACCUGCAUUAUUUGACGUUACCUACAGAAGAAGCACCGGCUAACUCCGUGCCAGCAGCCGCGGUAAUACGGAGGGUGCGAGCGUUAAUCGGAAUUACUGGGCGUAAAGCGCAUGCAGGCGGCCUGUUAAGUCAGAUGUGAAAGCCCGGGGCUUAACCUCGGAAUUGCAUUUGAAACUGGCAGGCUAGAGUCUUGUAGAGGGGGUAGAAUUUCAGGUGUAGCGGUGAAAUGCGUAGAGAUCUGAAGGAAUACCAGUGGCGAAGGCGGCCCCCUGGACAAAGACUGACGCUCAGAUGCGAAAGCGUGGGGAGCAAACAGGAUUAGAUACCCUGGUGG